CAACCUUUCCAGGCCAAGCAUGACCUAGACUGGAUGUGCCAGCACCCUGUCCGGCCAAAUCUUAACAGCAUCCAGUGCUGGGGAAACCUUCACUUCUGGG